rnacentral:lncRNA from 1 species
CCUUGCUCCCAAGACACUCUGGGCCUUACACCCAAAGCCAGCGUCCCAGUUCCUGUUGGGGUCCACGCCAAUACAGAGGGAGCCUGCUGUGUGGGACCGAGGUUGGUGACGAUCUCCAGGAAGAUGUCCAAGGUGUCGAGAAUGGCGGUGAAAGCUGCAUCCUGCCCGUAGUCUUGAGUGAUCUGGGGGGUUAGAGGAGCAGAGGGGCAGCGCAGGCUGGGCCAGGCAUCUGCCAAGCCACAGCAAUGGACACCUUUCCCCAUGUCCUCUGUGGUCACUGCUUCUGGAUGGGCAAAGGGAGGCCCGGGCUUCUGUGGGCCUUGGACACCAAUGCCCCACCAGGUGAGAGCCCUCCUCACCUCCCCGG